rnacentral:rRNA from 1 species
CAGGCUUAACACAUGCAAGUCGAGGGGCAGCAUGGUCUUAGCUUGCUAAGGCCGAUGGCGACCGGCGCACGGGUGAGUAACACGUAUCCAACCUGCCGUCUACUCUUGGACAGCCUUCUGAAAGGAAGAUUAAUACAAGAUGGCAUCAUGAGUCCGCAUGUUCACAUGAUUAAAGGUAUUCCGGUAGACGAUAGGGAUGCGUUCCAUUAGAUAGUAGGCGGGGUAACGGCCCACCUAGUCUUCGAUGGAUAGGGGUUCUGAGAGGAAGGUCCCCCACAUUGGAACUGAGACACGGUCCAAACUCCUACGGGAGGCAGCAGUGAGGAAUAUUGGUCAAUGGGCGAGAGCCUGAACCAGCCAAGUAGCGUGAAGGAUGACUGCCCUAUGGGUUGUAAACUUCUUUUAUAAAGGAAUAAAGUCGGGUAUGCAUACCCGUUUGCAUGUACUUUAUGAAUAAGGAUCGGCUAACUCCGUGCCAGCAGCCGCGGUAAUACGGAGGAUCCGAGCGUUAUCCGGAUUUAUUGGGUUUAAAGGGAGCGUAGAUGGAUGUUUAAGUCAGUUGUGAAAGUUUGCGGCUCAACCGUAAAAUUGCAGUUGAUACUGGAUAUCUUGAGUGCAGUUGAGGCAGGCGGAAUUCGUGGUGUAGCGGUGAAAUGCUUAGAUAUCACGAAGAACUCCGAUUGCGAAGGCAGCCUGCUAAGCUGCAACUGACAUUGAGGCUCGAAAGUGUGGGUAUCAAACAGGAUUAGAUACCCUGGUAGUCCACACGGUAAACGAUGAAUACUCGCUGUUUGCGAUAUACAGCAAGCGGCCAAGCGAAAGCGUUAAGUAUUCCACCUGGGGAGUACGCCGGCAACGGUGAAACUCAAAGGAAUUGACGGGGGCCCGCACAAGCGGAGGAACAUGUGGUUUAAUUCGAUGAUACGCGAGGAACCUUACCCGGGCUUAAAUUGCAGAUGAAUUACGGUGAAAGCCGUAAGCCGCAAGGCAUCUGUGAAGGUGCUGCAUGGUUGUCGUCAGCUCGUGCCGUGAGGUGUCGGCUUAAGUGCCAUAACGAGCGCAACCCUUGUUGUCAGUUACUAACAGGUUCCGCUGAGGACUCUGACAAGACUGCCAUCGUAAGAUGUGAGGAAGGUGGGGAUGACGUCAAAUCAGCACGGCCCUUACGUCCGGGGCUACACACGUGUUACAAUGGGGGGUACAGAGGGCCGCUACCACGCGAGUGGAUGCCAAUCCCCAAAACCUCUCUCAGUUCGGACUGGAGUCUGCAACCCGACUCCACGAAGCUGGAUUCGCUAGUAAUCGCGCAUCAGCCACGGCGCGGUGAAUACGUUCCCGGGCCUUGUACACACCGCCCGUCAAGCCAUGGGAGCCGGGGGUACCUGAAGUGCGUAACCGCGAGGAGCGCCCUAGGGUAAAACUGGUGACUGGGGCUAAGUC